rnacentral:rRNA from 1 species
UAAACAUGCAAGUCGAACGAACUCUUCGGAGUUAGUGGCGGACGGGUGAGUAACACGUGGGAACGUGCCUUUUGGUUCGGAAUAACUCAGGGAAACUUGUGCUAAUACCGAAUGUGCCCUUCGGGGGAAAGAUUUAUCGCCAUUAGAGCGGCCCGCGUCUGAUUAGCUAGUUGGUGAGGUAAAGGCUCACCAAGGCGACGAUCANUAGCUGGUCUGAGAGGAUGAUCAGCCACAUUGGGACUGAGACACGGCCCAAACUCCUACGGGAGGCAGCAGUGGGGAAUCUUGCGCAAUGGGCGAAAGCCUGACGCAGCCAUGCCGCGUGAAUGAUGAAGGUCUUAGGAUUGUAAAAUUCUUUCAGUAGGGACGAUAAUGACGGUACCUACAGAANAAGCCCCGGCUAACUUCGUGCCAGCAGCCGCGGUAAUACGAAGGGGGCUAGCGUUGCUCGGAAUUACUGGGCGUANAGGGAGCGUANGCGGACAUUUAAGUCAGGGGUGAAAUCCCGGGGCUCAACCUCGGAAUUGCCUUUGAUACUGGGUGUCUUGAGUA